UACGAAGGGGGCUAGCGUUGCUCGGAAUUACUGGGCGUAAAGCGCACGUCGGCGGAUCGUUCAGUCCGGGGUGAAAUCCUGGAGCUCAACUCCAGAACUGCCUUUGAUACUGAAGAUCUUGAGUUCGGGAGAGGUGAGUGGAACUGCGAGUGUAGAGGUGAAAUUCGUAGAUAUUCGCAAGAACACCAGUGGCGAAGGCGGCUCACUGGCCCGAUACUGACGCUGAGGCACGAAAGCGUGGGGAGCAAACAGG
rnacentral:rRNA from 1 species